AACGUAGGAGACAAACGUUAUCCGGAGUUACUGGGCGUAAAGGGCGUGUAGGCGGUUAGUUAAGUCUGGCGUGAAAGCUCUCGGCUAAACCGGGAGAGGUCGUCGGAUACUGGCAAACUAGAGGAUGGUAGAGGCGUGUGGAAUUCCGGGUGUAGUGGUGAAAUGCGUAGAGAUUCGGAGGAACACCAGUGGCGAAGGCGACACGCUGGGCCAUACCUGACGCUAAAGCGCGACAGCAUGGGGAGCGAACGGG
rnacentral:rRNA from 1 species